rnacentral:rRNA from 1 species
UACAGAGGUCUCGAGCGUUGUUCGGAUUCAUUGGGCGUAAAGGGCGCGUAGGCGGCUGGGUAAGUCUGGUGUGAAAUCUCGGAGCUCAACUCCGAAAUUGCACUGGAUACUGCUCUGCUAGAGGGCUGGAGAGGAGAUCGGAAUUCACGGUGUAGCAGUGAAAUGCGUAGAUAUCGUGAGGAAGACCAGUGGCGAAGGCGGAUCUCUGGACAGCUCCUGACGCUGAGGCGCGAAGGCUAGGGGAGCAAACGGG